rnacentral:tRNA from 1 species
GAGCACUCCAUUAACAAGCGUUAUAUAUAUUUUUCAUCUUUCAUUUUUGAUUUAAAAUUUUGCUCUUAUAAAUUUUAUUUGACUAACACUUAAAAUUAAUAAAUGUCUACCUCGCAGGCCAAUAUUAAAAGGGAAGCACAAAGAAGACCGGAGGAAAAAUUUGAAAAAAAACUUCAACGGAAGUCAAAUGUUGUAAAAUGAAUGAAGAUUAAAUUAAAAUAUCAUAUUUGGCAGCGGUGGGAUUCGAACCCACGCCUCCGAGGAGACUGGUGCCUUAAACCAGCGCCUUAGACCGCUCGGCCACGCUACCUUAUGGCACAUCCUUUAGGCCAAAAUUAUAAUUGACAAAAAGCAAUACAAAACUAUUAAAAUUUAUAAUUAUUUUAUUUUAUUCUAAGGGUUUUUUUAUAGUCAGGAUGGCCGAGUGGUCUAAGGCGCUGCGUUCAGGUCGCAGUCCACAUCUGUGGGCGUGGGUUCAAAUCCCACUUCUGACAAAUUGAUUUUUUAUCCAUAUAUAUCAAAAUUUGGAAAAGCUUAAUACAACCCUUUUUGGUCCAAUAUAUAUGCAAGCAGAGUGGCGCAGUGGAAGCGUGCUGGGCCCAUAACCCAGAGGUCCGUAGAUCGAAACUACGCUCUGCUAACUAGUGGGGAAUUACUUUUUUUUAUUAGAAAACAUAGUUUAAUUAUUAUUGUUAAUAAUUCUUAGAGGAAGAUGAAUGCCGGAAGGAAGUGGAAUGUACUCAUUGAUAUGUAUAUGAACUUAUGAACUUAGUUUCAUUUUUUGUUGGUGUUAUUUUAUUGUAUUUUGAUUUUAUCUGUCUCUUUAGUUACUAACAGGGUUGAAGAGUCCGACUUGUACUUGUAUAUUUCUAAAUAUUUGUAUUUAGAAGAGCUGAAGAAAAGUUCAAAAAGAAGAACAGAUUCCAUCUAUCAUUUUAUGAGGUCGCCUACAUUUCCUAAAUUGAUAUUAUUGUGUAUAUUAUAGAUGAACAUCAAGUCAAAAUGCAGUGUUCAAAAUGUAGUAUAUGAGGCAAGAAACAUAUUACACUUAUACAUCGUGAAGAUAAAUCAUUAGAAGAUGUGCAAAGCUUACAUAUUAGUUUUGGAAUGUUGCAUAUCCCUGUGCGUAUUAUCUUUGAUGAAAGUUUCCAGGAUUUGUCUGAAAUCAUACCCCUUAUUUAUGAUAUGUUAAUAUGAAGUCUAGAAAACUUAAUAUUAAGUCAAAGAAUUCUCAGGAAAAUGAAAUGAAUACAUGGAAAAUUAAAAAUAUAUCAAAUUUCAAUUCGAGAAUUUAAGUCAUCUUAUCAGACUUGGAAUUGACAUCGAAUAUGGAGAUGGAAGAAAAAAUUGAUGGCCUUGUAGAUGCUGAUAUCAUACUGAGGUUCUCAAUUAAUGAUUCACUUCCCAUCGGGGAUAAAAGGAACUUGAUGCUUGUAGAACUAGAGUUAGUAAUAAAAAAUGUAUACUGAGGUAUCGUGACCUUGUCAAGACAUCGAUUAUUUUAUCGAUAAUGAAUUAAGAAGUACCCAUAAUUGAAUAUCGUCAUCGUCAAUAGUUAUUUGAAAUUGCAAGUUCAGCAAAUUCUUCAAUCGUGGCGGUGGAAUAUCCUCAUAUAUCUCAUAUCCACGUAUAUCAUAAUAUGUCAUAACUUGAGGUUGCAAAAUAAAAGCCAGACGUGGA